rnacentral:misc_RNA from 1 species
CCGAGUUUACAAAACUCCCAAACCCUUUGUGAAACCUUACCAUAAUCGUUGCUUCGGCGGGGACCGCCCCGGCCGCCCUCCGCGGCCCGGAACCAGGCGCCCGCCGGAGGCCCCCAAACUCUUAUGUCUUUAGUGGUUCUCUCCUCUGAGUGACACAUAAACAAAUAAAUAA